AUGCGAUGAUGUAUUGAAUUUCUUCACCUGAAUCCGUUGUGUGGAACCAAAUGAGCUUUUUAACCCUGAGCAUC